GAUCGGUCAUCGAUGGGUCAAGAUCGGUCAUCGUUGACCCAAGACUGGACAUUAACCCAAGAUCGGUCAUCGAUGGGUCAAGACCAGACAUUGACCCAAGAUCAGUCAUCGUUGGGUCAAGAUCGGUCAUCGAUGGGUCAAGAUCGGUCAUCGAUGGGUCAAGAUCGGUCAUCGUUGGGUCAAGACCGGACAUUGAUGUGUCAAGAUCAGCCAUCGUUGACCCAGGACCAGACAUUGACCCAAAACCAGUUAUUAUUGACCCAAGAACGGACAUUGGCCCAGAAUCGGUCAUCGUCGACCCAAAACCGGUCAUCGUUGACCCAAACAAGUUCGACGGCCCAAGCGACGUCGCCGUUGUCCUUCGAGAUGACCCUGUGGGGACAAGGCCGGACAUUGACCCAGGAGGGGUCACCGUUGGGUCAAGACCGGUCAUUGUCACCGUUGUCACCAGAGGUGGCACCUUGGGGACAAAACCGGCCAUUGUUGGCCCAAGAGCGGUCAUUGACCCAAGAUCGGUCAUUGUUGGGUCAAGAGCGGUCAUUGGCCCAGGAUCGGUCAUCAUUGACCCAAGAUCGGUCAUUGUUGGGUCAAGAGCGGUCAUUGGCCCAGGACCGGUCAUCGUUGGGUCAAGAGCGGUCAUUGGCCCAGGACCGGUCAUCGUUGGGUCAAGAAGGGUCAACGGCCCAAGGGACGUCGCCGUUGUCCCUUGAGAUGACCCCAAGGGGUCAAGACCGGACAUUGACCCAAGACCGGACAUUGGCCCAAGACAGGACAUUGACCCAAGACCGAACAUUGGCCCAAGACAGGACAUUGACCCAAGACCGGUCACCGUUGGGUCAAGACCGGACAUCGUUGGGUCAAGAGUGGUCAUUGACCCAAGACCGGCCAUUGUUGGGUCAAGAAAGGUCAACGGCCCAAGGGACGUCGCCGUUGUCCCUUGAGAUGACCACAAGGGGUCAAGACCAGACAUUGACCCAAGACCGGCCAUUGUUGGGUCAAGACCGGCCAUUGUUGGAUCAAGACCGGACAUCGUUGGGUCAAGACCGGACAUUGGCCCAGGACCAGUCACCGUUGGCCCAAGACCGGACAUUGACCCAGGACCAGUCACCGUUGGGUCAAGACCGGACAUCGUUGGGUCAAGAGUGGUCAACGGCCCAAGGGACGUCGCCGUUGUCCCUCGAGAUGACCCCAAGGGGUCAAGACCGGACAUUGGCCCAGGAGGGGUCAUCAUUGGGUCAAGACCGGACAUUGGCCCAGGACCGGUCACCGUUGGCCCAAGACCGGACAUUGACCCAGGACCGGUCACCGUUGGGUCAAGACCAGUCAUCGUUGGGUCAAGAGUGGUCAACGGCCCAAGGGACGUCGCCG
rnacentral:lncRNA from 1 species